GAUGAACGCUGGCGGCGUGCCUAAUACAUGCAAGUCGAGCGAACGGACGAGAAGCUUGCUUUUCUGAUGUUAGCGGCGGACGGGUGAGUAACACGUGGAUAACCUACCUAUAAGACUGGGAUAACUUCGGGAAACCGGAGCUAAUACCGGAUAAUAUUUUGAACCGCAUGGUUCAAAAGUGAAAGACGGUCUUGCUGUCACUUAUAGAUGGAUCCGCGCUGCAUUAGCUAGUUGGUAAGGUAACGGCUUACCAAGGCAACGAUGCAUAGCCGACCUGAGAGGGUGAUCGGCCACACUGGAACUGAGACACGGUCCAGACUCCUACGGGAGGCAGCAGUAGGGAAUCUUCCGCAAUGGGCGAAAGCCUGACGGAGCAACGCCGCGUGAGUGAUGAAGGUCUUCGGAUCGUAAAACUCUGUUAUUAGGGAAGAACAUAUGUGUAAGUAACUGUGCACAUCUUGACGGUACCUAAUCAGAAAGCCACGGCUAACUACGUGCCAGCAGCCGCGGUAAUACGUAGGUGGCAAGCGUUAUCCGGAAUUAUUGGGCGUAAAGCGCGCGUAGGCGGUUUUUUAAGUCUGAUGUGAAAGCCCACGGCUCAACCGUGGAGGGUCAUUGGAAACUGGAAAACUUGAGUGCAGAAGAGGAAAGUGGAAUUCCAUGUGUAGCGGUGAAAUGCGCAGAGAUGUGGAGGAACACCAGUGGCGAAGGCGACUUUCUGGUCUGUAACUGACGCUGAUGUGCGAAAGCGUGGGGAUCAAACAGGAUUAGAUACCCUGGUAGUCCACGCCGUAAACGAUGAGUGCUAAGUGUUAGGGGGUUUCCGCCCCUUAGUGCUGCAGCUAACGCAUUAAGCACUCCGCCUGGGGAGUACGACCGCAAGGUUGAAACUCAAAGGAAUUGACGGGGGCCCGCACAAGCGGUGGAGCAUGUGGUUUAAUUCGAAGCAACGCGAAGAACCUUACCAAAUCUUGACAUCCUUUGACAGCUCUAGAGAUAGAGCCUUCCCCUUCGGGGGACAAAGUGACAGGUGGUGCAUGGUUGUCGUCAGCUCGUGUCGUGAGAUGUUGGGUUAAGUCCCGCAACGAGCGCAACCCUUAAGCUUAGUUGCCAUCAUUAAGUUGGGCACUCUAAGUUGACUGCCGGUGACAAACCGGAGGAAGGUGGGGAUGACGUCAAAUCAUCAUGCCCCUUAUGAUUUGGGCUACACACGUGCUACAAUGGACAAUACAAAGGGCAGCGAAACCGCGAGGUCAAGCAAAUCCCAUAAAGUUGUUCUCAGUUCGGAUUGUAGUCUGCAACUCGACUACAUGAAGCUGGAAUCGCUAGUAAUCGUAGAUCAGCAUGCUACGGUGAAUACGUUCCCGGGUCU
rnacentral:rRNA from 1 species